rnacentral:tRNA from 1 species
ACGUGGAUAGCUCAGUCGGCAGAGCAUGAAACUCUUAAUCUCAGGGUUAUGGGUUUGAGCCCCACAUUGGGCG